GGCUUAGAGUUUGAUCAUGGCUCAGGAUGGACGCUGGCGGCGUGCUUAACACAUGCAAGUCGAGCGAAGCACUUGGGAUUGAUUUCUUCGGAAUGAAAUCUCAUUUGACUGAGCGGCGGACGGGUGAGUAACGCGUGGGUGACCUGCCCCAUACCGGGGGAUAACAGCUGGAAACGGCUGCUAAUACCGCAUAAGCGCACGGAGCUGCAUGGCUCAGUGUGAAAAACUCCGGUGGUAUGGGAUGGGCCCGCGUCUGAUUAGGCAGUUGGCGGGGUAACGGCCCACCAAACCGACGAUCAGUAGCCGACCUGAGAGGGCGACCGGCCACAUUGGGACUGAGACACGGCCCAAACUCCUACGGGAGGCAGCAGUGGGGAAUAUUGCACAAUGGGGGAAACCCUGAUGCAGCGACGCCGCGUGAGCGAAGAAGUAUUUCGGUAUGUAAAGCUCUAUCAGCAGGGAAGAUGAUGACGGUACCUGACUAAGAAGCCCCGGCUAACUACGUGCCAGCAGCCGCGGUAAUACGUAGGGGGCAAGCGUUAUCCGGAUUUACUGGGUGUAAAGGGAGCGUAGACGGCGAAGCAAGUCUGGUGUGAAAACCCGGGGCUCAACCCCGGGCCUGCAUUGGAAACUGUUUUGCUUGAGUGCCGGAGAGGUAAGCGGAAUUCCUAGUGUAGCGGUGAAAUGCGUAGAUAUUAGGAGGAACACCAGUGGCGAAGGCGGCUUACUGGACGGUAACUGACGUUGAGGCUCGAAAGCGUGGGGAGCAAACAGGAUUAGAUACCCUGGUAGUCCACGCCGUANACGAUGAAUGCUAGGUGUUGGGGAGCAAAGCUCUUCNGUGCCGCCGCAAACGCAUUAGGCAUUCCACCUGGGGA
rnacentral:rRNA from 1 species